CACCAAUCUUUUGUAUGUGUAAAUUAAGCAGUAUAAACAAUGGCUCUGUCUGUAAGAUUUCUCGUACCUAUAUCUGUCCUAAUUUUUAUUCUGUCACUUAUGAAUGGAGGUUUGUCAAUUGAAUGUACUAAAGAUUUCUGCAAGAAUGUAACCUGCGAAGUGAACGUUACAUCCUGCCAAGAAGGAUAUCACUUGAUGCCUACAAUAUGUGGAUGCUGUCAUUACUGUGCGAAAGAUAUACCUGAGAAUGGAUCUUGUCGCAACAUAGGUGGAUUGGGAGUUCCCUCGAAUACCCAAUGUGCUAAAGGUUUAGUAUGUUGCAACGGCACAAUUUGUUUGAAGCCAGAAAAUUGUAGAAAAUAGAAAAAAAAACGAUAAUUUACAUAGUAUUUUUAAAUAAUUAUCCAGAUUAUUAGUUUAGUUUGACAUGUAUUAACUCUA